rnacentral:rRNA from 1 species
UUGCUGACGACCGGCGCACGGGUGCGUAACGCGUAUAGAACCUACCUUUUACAGGGGAAUAGCCCAGAGAAAUUUGGAUUAAUGCCCCAUAGUAUUGUUGAUUGGCAUCAAUUAAUAAUUAAACAUUUAUGGGUAAAAGAUGGCUAUGCGUUCUAUUAGCUAGAUGGUAAGGUAACGGCUUACCAUGGCGACGAUAGAUAGGGGUCCUGAGAGGGAGAUCCCCCACACUGGUACUGAGACACGGACCAGACUCCUACGGGAGGCAGCAGUGAGGAAUAUUGGACAAUGGAGGCAACUCUGAUCCAGCCAUGCCGCGUGCAGGAAGACGGCCCUAUGGGUUGUAAACUGCUUUUAUAUGGGAAGAAACCCAACUACGAGUAGUUGGCUGACGGUACCAUAAGAAUAAGCACCGGCUAACUCCGUGCCAGCAGCCGCGGUAAUACGGAGGGUGCAAGCGUUAUCCGGAAUCAUUGGGUUUAAAGGGUCCGUAAGCGGGCUAAUAAGUCAGGGGUGAAAUCCAACAGCUUAACUGUUGAACUGCCUUUGAUACUGUUAGUCUUGAAUUAUAUGGAAGUAGAUAGAUGUGUAGUGUAGCGGUGAAAGCUUAGAGAUUACACAGAAUACCGAUUGCGAAGCAGUCUACUACGUAUAAUUGACGCUAAUGGACGAAAGCGGGGGAGCGAACAGGAUUGAUACCCUGGGAGUCCACGCCGUAAACGAUGGACCUAUUGUUGGAUUAUUCAGUGACU